rnacentral:lncRNA from 1 species
UUGAAAAUUAAAGAAGGGGGGAGGAUAAGAAGAGACUAUCCUAAAGCAUAAAGUAAAAUAUAGGGAGGAAAAAUCUAACCAAGAAAUAGCAAGCUUUAUGACAUAAGUCAAGCAAGAAUUCCCUCCUUUGGAGUAAGCCUCAAGCAAGGCAGAAUAAUAAAAUAAUAAUCCACGUAUCAGAUGAAACCAAAGUAACUCAACCAAGUCUUCAAAAGGAAAU